GUAAGGGCAUCUACAUGCAUCUUUGGUGGGAGUAUCUAAAGAUGGAUUAGUUUUGGCUGGCAGUCACCCAGAACUGUCCUCAAUUCUGAAUGAGCAGAUUGAAUGCACUCCACAGCUAUUUCUUUUAAAUAUGUUGGAGAACCAUAAUUUGGAUGUUCAAGUUAACAUUUCUGAUAAUAGCAGCAUGUCUGCCCAUUGUGCAAAAGUGAAAGACGCUUGAGAGUCUAGAUCUGGACCUGUGGUCCCUCAAUGUAUGGACUAAUCAUCAAAGGGUCCUGAGUGGCAAAGAAGAACAGGACAAAUUGUAUGCAAUAUGGUACAGAUUUACUGAGACCUUUCACUACCUGAAACAAAGCCAUGCUCCUUCAUCAAUACAGAGGUACUCACUUUAAAAAAAGAAAGCCCACCUGAGGGCAUCAUGUGGUUUUCUGGAAACGUGGGCAUCCAGAAAGGCUACAGAAUGCAGACCACUGGAGACUUGACUUGUAGAAUGAAAGAACGGACAUUCACAAACACCAUGUAACCACCUCAAAAGCAAGUUACUGAUCCACAGGAAGCCCCAUCCUUUUAUUCAACAACUGCUAAAUUUACUCAGGAGUCUUUGGUGAGGGACUUUAUGAAGAGCGUCCAAAACAAUCAUUGUCUUAACAUAUCACCUGUAUCCACAUGACACUCUCAAAAUAACUAUAAAUGUUAAUGAGAUAGGACUUACAUUUGCA